UUCGGGCUUUAUUUGCGCAGGAUAGGUGGGAGGCUUUGAGAGUGUUUUUGAGGGAACAUUUGAGCCAUUGGUGAGAUACCACUCUUAUAAAGCUAGAAUUCUAACCUUAUACCGUUAGCCGGUUAAGGAACAGUCUCUGGUGGGCAGUUUGACUGGGGCGGUCGCCUCCUAAAAGGUAACGGAGGCGCACAAAGGUUUCCUCAGAUCGGUCAGAAAUCGAUCGUAGAGCGUAAAGGCAUAAGGAAGCUUGACUGCGAGACCUACAAGUCGAGCAGAGACGAAAGUCGGUCUUAGUGAUCUGACGGUUCCGAGUGGAAGGGCCGUCACUCAACGGAUAAAAGUUACUCUAGGGAUAAC
rnacentral:rRNA from 1 species